UGGGGAAUUUUGGACAAUGGGGGCAACCCUGAUCCAGCAAUGCCGCGUGUGUGAAGAAGGCCUUCGGGUUGUAAAGCACUUUUGUCCGGAAAGAAAACGCCGUGGUUAAUACCCGUGGCGGAUGACGGUACCGGAAGAAUAAGCACCGGCUAACUACGUGCCAGCAGCCGCGGUAAUACGUAGGGUGCAAGCGUUAAUCGGAAUUACUGGGCGUAAAGCGUGCGCAGGCGGUCCGCUAAGACAGAUGUGAAAUCCCCGGGCUUAACCUGGGAACUGCAUUUGUGACUGGCGGGCUAGAGUAUGGCAGAGGGGGGUAGAAUUCCACGUGUAGCAGUGAAAUGCGUAGAGAUGUGGAGGAAUACCGAUGGCGAAGGCAGCCCCCUGGGCCAAUACUGACGCUCAUGCANNGAAAAGCGUGGGGGAGCCAAAACGAAGGAUUAGAUACCCUGGUAGUCCCACGCCCUAAACGAUGUCAACUAGUUCGUCGGGUCUUCAUUGACUUGGUAACGUAGCUAACGCGUGAAGUUGACCGCCUGGGGAGUACGGUCGCAAGAUUAAAA
rnacentral:rRNA from 1 species